AUAAAACAAAAUCAAUUAAAUUUAACUUGAACGUAAAACAAAAAGCGCGAUUGAAUAGAAAACCUAGAAACGCUUCACCGAUUGAAAAUUCACAACCACCGAUUGAGAUUCACAACCACAGAAAACCUAGAUUCACAACCAUGGAUUGAAGAUUCACAACCACCGAUUGAAGAUUCACAUCCACAGAAGUUAUUCUCGCCGUUCUUCUGAGUACGUAGACGACGACGGUGAUUCUCGCCAUUCUUCUCGCACGUUCUAUUAAUUGAAUUUUUGUUGUUUCGACAUGACUGUUAUAAAAAUCUCUUGAAACAUGGAGCUUUUUAUCUUGCACACAAAGUGUUUGAUAAAAGCUCUCAACCAAGUCCUUUCUUUUUCUUUUGACACUGGAUUUUUGUGUUGUUGUUAUUAUUUGUUGAAGGUGAUGGUUGUUAGUUAACAGUAGUUUGUUUUGUUUGAAAAAAGAGAAAACCCAUGUGAGGAAGGUGAUGGUAUGAGAUAUGGUUUAUGUGAGUAUUGGUGUGGGGGCUGUGUUCAAAGUACAGGAGAAGUGAUUUGUGCUGAACAACAACUGCAGGUUGUUUUUCACGGUUUCAAUUGCCUUCACUGAGUUUUUUUUGGUUAGUUUUUGUGUGUGAAAAUUAGAUCUUGUUAUGCUUUUGUUUUGUGCAUGGUGUUCUGACUGUUCUCUGUUUUAGGUGGAUUUAUUUGGUGUUUUGAUGAAGAACUUUUUAAAGCCAAACUAGGAAAAUGUUUUUAUAAGCUUUAGUUUUCAGUGGAUUUAUUUGGUGAUGGUUCAAUUCAGAAGCUUGAUGUUCAGAAGCACUUGAAGAAUUUGAACAGGCCGCCGGUUAAGUCCAUCAAGAGGUUAGUCAAUGUAGUUGCAACCAAUUGUGAAGGAACCAUUCACCGCCGUCGAACCUUCUCCGACAGCAGCAAUGGCGAUUCGUGAUGGCGGUAUCAAGUAUUCAUCAAUUAAUGGUGUAAAAAUGUACACAAUAGCUUCACAGCAAUCCUCACUUGCUUCAUGGGUUCCAACUAAGCAGCAAUCUCACCAUCCUGUCAAAAAAUGUGGAUAAGAGGGUGAAGUAUGCAUACCUAAUACUGUAUGCUAAAGAAUGUGGACAAGGAUACUCUUAAGUGGAAGAUUCCUUAUUCAGUAUGUCAGAAAUUGUCCUUGGGAGAGAGGGUGAAGUCCUGUGUUGUCUCUAAAGUAGGGAAAUUGUUGAGAGAUCCAACUUAUUUUUAUGUUUGAUUUCUACAAGGUUAAUAGAAUCUUUACUUAUUUGGUUGUCGUGUGUUUGAUAAGACUCGUACUCCUGUUGUGUCUGUUUCAGUGUAUUCAUCAAUAGGUCAAUGUUUGUUAAGCGCCAUCAGGUUUCUCUUAAGGAUGCUGCAAAUUCGACUGAUGAAUCGGUGUUUCAUCCUCUUACAGCCCUGUCAAGAAUAUUUUAUGGUGAUAACAUGAUAGAGUCAAAGGUACUGUCAAGAAUAGUAAACAAGCAUCACUUUUAGAGAUUGUGCAGUCUUCUUAAAGACCCUCUUGUUGCUGCUUCAAUAGUUCAUGGUGGUUCAGUUGAUGAAGCAAACCUGUAAGUAGUUUUCUUUUUUUCUUCCACUAUUUCAUGUAGAACU